AAUGAACGUUGGCGGCGUGGAUUAGGCAUGCAAGUCGAGCGCGAACCCCGCAAGGGGUGAAAGCGGCGAAAGGGAGAGUAACGCGUGGGUAUUUACCCUCGGGACUGGGAUAGCUGCGGGAAACUGCAGGUAAUACCAGAUGACGUCCCCGGACCAAAGGUGUGAUUCCGCCUGAGGAUAAGCCCGCGUCCUAUUAGCUAGUUGGUGAGGUAAUGGCUCACCAAGGCAAUGAUGGGUACUGGGUGUGAGAGCACGACCCAGCUCACUGGGACUGAGAGACUGCCCAGACACCUACGGGUGGCUGCAGUCGAGAAUCUUCGGCAAUGGGCGCAAGCCUGACCGAGCGACGCCGCGUGUGGGAUGAAGGCCUUCGGGUUGUAAACCGCUGUCAGAGGGGAGGAAUGGGCGGAGGGUAAUCUCUUCGUUUUGACCUAUCCUCAGAGGAAGUACGGGCUAACUACGUGCCAGCCGCCGCAGUAA
rnacentral:rRNA from 1 species